rnacentral:rRNA from 1 species
UACAGAGGUCUCAAGCGUUGUUCGGAUUCAUUGGGCGUAAAGGGUGCGUAGGCGGCGCGGUAAGUCGGGUGUGAAAUCUCGGAGCUUAACUCCGAAACUGCAUUCGAUACUGCCGUGCUUGAGGACUGGAGAGGAGACUGGAAUUUACGGUGUAGCGGUGAAAUGCGUAGAUAUCGUGAGGAAGACCAGUGGCGAAGGCGGCCUUCUGGACGGAUACUGACGCUGAGGCGCGAAAGCCAGGGGAGCAAACGGG